rnacentral:rRNA from 1 species
UACGUAGGGUGCAAGCGUUGUCCGGAAUUAUUGGGCGUAAAGAGCUCGUAGGCGGUCUGUUGCGUCGGCUGUGAAAACCCGAGGCUCAACCUCGGGCCUGCAGCCGAUACGGGCAGACUAGAGUUCGGCAGGGGAGACUGGAAUUCCUGGUGUAGCGGUGAAAUGCGCAGAUAUCAGGAGGAACACCGGUGGCGAAGGCGGGUCUCUGGGCCGAUACUGACGCUGAGACACGAAGGCCAGGGGAGCAAACGGG